rnacentral:rRNA from 2 species
UUAAAUUGAAGAGUUUGAUCAUGGCUCAGAUUGAACGCUGGCGGCAGGCCUAACACAUGCAAGUCGAACGGUAACAGGAAGCAGCUUGCUGCUUCGCUGACGAGUGGCGGACGGGUGAGUAAUGUCUGGGAAACUGCCUGAUGGAGGGGGAUAACUACUGGAAACGGUGGCUAAUACCGCAUAACGUCGCAAGACCAAAGAGGGGGACCUUCGGGCCUCUUGCCAUCAGAUGUGCCCAGAUGGGAUUAGCUUGUUGGUGAGGUAACGGCUCACCAAGGCGACGAUCCCUAGCUGGUCUGAGAGGAUGACCAGCCACACUGGAACUGAGACACGGUCCAGACUCCUACGGGAGGCAGCAGUGGGGAAUAUUGCACAAUGGGCGCAAGCCUGAUGCAGCCAUGCCGCGUGUAUGAAGAAGGCCUUCGGGUUGUAAAGUACUUUCAGCGGGGAGGAAGGUGUUGUGGUUAAUAACCACAGCAAUUGACGUUACCCGCAGAAGAAGCACCGGCUAACUCCGUGCCAGCAGCCGCGGUAAUACGGAGGGUGCAAGCGUUAAUCGGAAUUACUGGGCGUAAAGCGCACGCAGGCGGUCUGUCAAGUCGGAUGUGAAAUCCCCGGGCUCAACCUGGGAACUGCAUUCGAAACUGGCAGGCUUGAGUCUUGUAGAGGGGGGUAGAAUUCCAGGUGUAGCGGUGAAAUGCGUAGAGAUCUGGAGGAAUACCGGUGGCGAAGGCGGCCCCCUGGACAAAGACUGACGCUCAGGUGCGAAAGCGUGGGGAGCAAACAGGAUUAGAUACCCUGGUAGUCCACGCCGUAAACGAUGUCUACUUGGAGGUUGUGCCCUUGAGGCGUGGCUUCCGGAGCUAACGCGUUAAGUAGACCGCCUGGGGAGUACGGCCGCAAGGUUAAAACUCAAAUGAAUUGACGGGGGCCCGCACAAGCGGUGGAGCAUGUGGUUUAAUUCGAUGCAACGCGAAGAACCUUACCUGGUCUUGACAUCCACGGAAGUUUUCAGAGAUGAGAAUGUGCCUUCGGGAACCGUGAGACAGGUGCUGCAUGGCUGUCGUCAGCUCGUGUUGUGAAAUGUUGGGUUAAGUCCCGCAACGAGCGCAACCCUUAUCCUUUGUUGCCAGCGGUCCGGCCGGGAACUCAAAGGAGACUGCCAGUGAUAAACUGGAGGAAGGUGGGGAUGACGUCAAGUCAUCAUGGCCCUUACGACCAGGGCUACACACGUGCUACAAUGGCGCAUACAAAGAGAAGCGACCUCGCGAGAGCAAGCGGACCUCAUAAAGUGCGUCGUAGUCCGGAUUGGAGUCUGCAACUCGACUCCAUGAAGUCGGAAUCGCUAGUAAUCGUGGAUCAGAAUGCCACGGUGAAUACGUUCCCGGGCCUUGUACACACCGCCCGUCACACCAUGGGAGUGGGUUGCAAAAGAAGUAGGUAGCUUAACCUUCGGGAGGGCGCUUACCACUUUGUGAUUCAUGACUGGGGUGAAGUCGUAACAAGGUAACCGUAGGGGAACCUGCGGUUGGAUCACCUCCUUACCUUAAAGAA